rnacentral:lncRNA from 1 species
UUGUUUCGCAUAUGUUUUCGAUAUCCCAAUUUAUUUUUCACAAUACCCUUUUGUACUUUGGUGUUUGUGAGAUUAUUUGGACCUUUGGUAGAAAUAGUAAAGGGAUUAUAUGGACCUUUGCCAAAAUGAUAAAGGGAUUAUCUGGACCUUUGCUAUUAAUGGUAAAGGGUAUGUGCUUAGAGCCCACGAUGUUCUAGAUUAAGUUUGG